ensembl:lncRNA
AUGAAAUCUUGCUCAGCAGCCAUGGUUGGUGUGUUUCUUCUUGCGUAUAUCUCCGUGAAUUUAUUCCUUAAAUGUCAAGGUCAAAAGAUUAAUCAAGCUAAGAUUUUCAGUGAAAAUGCUGAAGUACCAGAAGGUGGUAGACUGGAAGUUACUUGCAGCACAUUUGGUUUUACAGGAAAGGCAGUUUAUUUAUAUCUGUGUAAAAAUGGUAAAGCUAUUGAUAUGAAAAACAGACCCACUCAACAAGAUGUUGGCUUUAAAAUAGAGAAAAUAGAAAUGAACCAUGCAGGCAACUACAGCUGUGUGUUUUCAGAAGAGCAGUUGCAAAUAAACAAAGUGAUGGGAUAUGGUUAUAAUUACAUCUUCAUAAACGUGACUGAAUCUUUUAUUUACACACAGAUAUAUUUGCUUAAGUCUGAGGUGCCAGUGGGAAGUAAUGUUGAAUUCAACUGCAAAACAUUCAAUCCUUUACCCAAAAAACAGUCCAGGAACAUGAUCUUGGUUUAUCUAAUCAAAAAUGGAAAGCCUAUUAAAGUUAAUAUUUGGGACACAGAGAAGAUGAUGACAACAUUCACCCUCAGAGAAGUCCAGUUGGAAGAUGCUGGGACAUACAGUUGUGUUAUAUUGUUAAACAUACUCCCUUACCAUGGAAUGAGACUUCGUCAAAAUAUUAAAGCUUAUCUUCAGAUAAUUGGUAAGAAUAGCUAUUCUAUUAGCUGAACUUUACAGUGGUUCUAACCCACAUACUUACGACUUAAAUGAUGUGCAAUUUCAUAAUUCUGUUGUCUGCAAUAUGGUUAAAGUGUGUACUUUAUAUGGAUUUACGGCAAAUUACAGUACACUUUAUGUGAUUUAUGUGAUUUCUACUGAAACUUGCAUGCCAUUUAUUUAAAUAUAUUUACAAUUACAUGUUCAUAAUAAUGAAUUAGCAUUUUAGUAUAGCGGUGGCCAAAAUUAUUACAACACUAGAAUUUUCACCAGCUAAAAAUGGGUUUAAGUUCUAACUUUUGCUGUAGAGUGUCAGUAGGAAAUAUCAGUUUUCAUUUAAUUUCAUAUUAAUUUUGCCAUUAACUGUAAUAAUCCAGUGAAAUUUUUAUUUGCACAAGAGUCUGACAACAGCCAGUUCUCCACACAGAGAUCUGAUCUCGUCAAUCCAGAAGAACUGUGGCUACGUCUCCAAGAUGUUUCAAAGAUACGCACCUGCAAAGCUACAGCACUGUUAAAAGUUUUAGGCACUUGCAUAAAAAUUAUGUAAAAUGAGGAUGCUGUCAAAAUAAUGUCAUAAACAGAUUUUCUUUAUCAAUUAAUUUCUAUUAACUAAAUUAAAUGGACAUUUGGUGUGACCAUCCAUUGCAUUUAAAGCAGCUUCUGCCCUAUGUGCACUUGCACAUUUUCAGGUAGCUUUGCAGGUAGGUUUUCUUGAAGCAUCUCGGAGAUGUGGCCACAGUUAUUAUAAAUUGCUAAAAUAUGAGAAGUAAGUAAACUGUCAAAAUAAGACCUUUUUGUGUUUCUGGGUUUCUUUGACAGCGACAUCUAACAGCAGCAUUGACAAAGUCAUAACUGUCAUAAUGAGAUCCAUAGUCAUAAUGUGUACCAUAGUUUUACUUCUCAGUCUGUUUCUGGGAAUCUGGGCACUGAUCCGAAAACAAGGUAGUAUUUUCUCUAGAUCUAAAAUCACUGACACAUUUCACUUUCUUGAAUUGUUCUGUUUAAAUCCUAAUACUCUUAUUUCUUUCUAAUAGGAUGCCUUGGAAUCCAAAAAAAUGAAAGGUUGGUUUGAGAAGUUACUAACUAGAAACUAAAGUAAAUAAGAAAUUAAAACAUACCAGAUAUUAGAUUUAGGACAAUUCUGAUGCAUUCUUAAUCAACAGAUCCUCGAAAAAUGAGACAGAGCUCAGAGGAACAGAAGCGUUAUAUGAAGGAUGUUGUUGUUUCUUGUUGGAUGAUUUCCUAUGAAAAACAGAAAGCUGCGGUAGGCUGUUGCUAUAGAUAACAACUGAGCUCAUGGACUUUAAUUAAUCAUUGUGUUAAUUAACUGUUAACUGUUGUUUAAUAACUUUCAUACAUUGCCGAGUCAACCUGAUCUCAUGAGAAAAUCGAACUACUUUACAAAGUGGAAGUAUCAUAUGAAUUCGUACAGUUUUUAGAAAAAAAAGCAUAUAAUAAAGGGAUAGUUUACCCAAAAAAAUGGCAAUUCUUUCAUCAUUGACUAACCCUUAUGUCUGAAUGACUUACUUCUGUGGAUCACAAAAGUAUAUAUUAGUAUAUAUAUUUAAAACGUCCAUAUUGUAGCAGCUCUAAACUUUCUCUCUCUCUCUCUCUCUCUCUCUCUCUCUCUCUCUCUCUCUCACACACACACACACACACACACACACACACACACACACACACACACACAUAUAUAUAUAUAUAUAUAUUUAAAGCUGCUACAAAUAUGGAUGUUUUAAAUAUAUUUGCCUGCUUAAAGUUAAUUUAGUCAGCAUUUAGGAGUAUACUACAAUACAGAUAACCUCAAAGCUAAAGAAAUGGACUAAAGAUCCCUAAAACUCAGAUUUCUCUACUCUCCCCUUCUGUAAUUUUGUAUCUUACAUUAAGAAAUCUAUGUUAUAGAAAUUGAAAAACCUAAAUCAUCUGGUACUGGUCACAUACAACGUGCUGUCUGGUAAGCCAGUAAUUUAUGUAUGAAUAUGCUUUGUGCUGUUUUAUCUUCUUACUGUUUAUUGUGCUAUUUUCAUCUUUUAUUUUACAUACUUCUGACUGAUUUCACACAUCUUUUCUCUUGUCUGUUUCAAUAUCAGCUUUCACAUGAAUGAUUGGUUUUUUUCUUUCUUUCUUAUUUAUUUGACUGUUUCUACAAAAAUGCUAUGGUUGUGUAAAUCAAUGUCUAUAAUUGCUCAGGGCUGCCACAGAGUCGGAUAAUUCCUCUUUGAAUGGUAAGUCUGAAUUGAAUGAAUUAAUGAAUGAAUGAAUGUUGUGUAGUUAUCGAAAAAAUCUAACAGUAUUGUAAAACAAAAAGUCAUUUUGUGCUGUGCAGUUACAAUGACUAGCUGCAUCUGCAUUACACAAAUGUCUUGUAUUUUUACAGGUGAAGAGUAUGAUAAAGUGUCAUGUGCAGUACAGCAUCUGCAUGCAUUACUGCAUGAUUAAAUUAUGCUUUUGCAGCUUUGUGGUGUUAUCUAUGCUAUUGCUGUUUUACAACUGUUGCUUUUUGUGGUUUAUUUUAGCUUGUUUUUAAGUUUCUGUUUUAAUUGACUAUUUGUUUACUGUCCUUAUUGUUGAUUUUUUAUGACACUGACCAACUGAGUGUUGACCAUGACUUUAUUAUUAUAAUUUUUUUUUAAUGCAAACAUUACGGUAAAUGAUCUUUCAAGACUGGAAAUUAACUCUCAGCAUUUAUAAUAAAAUACCAUACACAUAUUGUUAGUGUAACAUGAAAUUGUUGUAAAAACAAACUGUUGUUGGUUUUAUUUUAUUUUGUAAUUUGCAGUGUGUUAGUGUAUUCACGAAUGUACUGGAGAGUAUCUCAUAAUAAAAUGCUUGGAAUUUAUUUCAGCAGUUACAGAUCAUAUUUCCUCUUUUUUUAUGCACUGUAAAAAAAAAAAAAAACUUUCA